UACGUAGGGCGCAAGCGUUGUCCGGAAUUAUUGGGCGUAAAGAGCUCGUAGGCGGCCUGUUACGUCUGCUGUGAAAUCCCGGGGCUUAACCCCGGGCGUGCAGUGGAUACGGGCAGACUAGAGUGCAGUAGGGGAGACUGGAAUUCCUGGUGUAGCGGUGAAAUGCGCAGAUAUCAGGAGGAACACCGAUGGCGAAGGCAGGUCUCUGGGCUGUGAACUGACGCUGAGGAGCGAAAGCAUGGGGAGCGAACAGG
rnacentral:rRNA from 1 species